GGGGGGAGGCCAGAUCCUGGGCUGUGUCCCCGGUGUCCUCUGCUCCCGGGCCUGCGCUGUUUGAUUCCUGCUCCCAUCGCGCAGCCCCCU
rnacentral:pre_miRNA from 1 species